CAACCCUCAAGCCCCCGGGCUUGGUGUUGGGGAUCGGCACAAGGCGGCUGGCACCUCCGGGAGCCGCGCCCGCCGUCCCCCAAAUUCAGUGGCGGUUCACGCCGUGUGUACCUCAGCGUAGUAGCAACACCUCGCUCCGGAACCCUCCUGUGAACCACGCCGUAAAACCCCCGACUUUUUUCU
rnacentral:misc_RNA from 1 species